GUGGGGAAUAUUGGACAAUGGGCGAAAGCCUGAUCCAGCCAUGCCGCGUGUGUGAAGAAGGUCUUCGGAUUGUAAAGCACUUUAAGUUGGGAGGAAGGGCAGUAAGUUAAUACCUUGCUGUUUUGACGUUACCGACAGAAUAAGCACCGGCUAACUUCGUGCCAGCAGCCGCGGUAAUACGAAGGGUGCAAGCGUUAAUCGGAAUUACUGUGCGUAAAGCGCGCGUAGGUGGUUUUGUAAGUUGGAGGUGAAAUCCACGGGCUCAAACUGGGAACUGCCUACGAAACUGCAUGGCUAGAGUACGGUAGAGGGUAGUGGAAUUUCCUGUGUAGCGGUGAAAUGCGUAGAUAUAGGAAGGAACACCAGUGGCGAAGGCGACUACCUGGACUGAUACUGACACUGAGGUGCGAAAGCGUGGGGAGCAAACAGGAUUAGAUACCCCAGUAGUCC
rnacentral:rRNA from 1 species